rnacentral:rRNA from 1 species
GACAGCCAGGAUGUUGGCUUAGAAGCAGCCAUCAUUUAAAGAAAGCGUAAUAGCUCACUGGUCGAGUCGGCCUGCGCGGAAGAUGUAACGGGGCUAAACCAUGCACCGAAGCUGCGGCAGCGACGCUUAUGCGUUGUUGGGUAGGGGAGCGUUCUGUAAGCCUGUGAAGGUGUACUGUGAGGUAUGCUGGAGGUAUCAGAAGUGCGAAUGCUGACAUAAGUAACGAUAAAGCGGGUGAAAAGCCCGCUCGCCGGAAGACCAAGGGUUCCUGUCCAACGUUAAUCGGGGCAGGGUGAGUCGACCCCUAAGG